AGACUCUGUGCGCGUGCAUAUCAAUAAGCGGAGGAAAAGAAACUAACAAGGAUUCCCCUAGUAACGGCGAGUGAAGCGGGAAGAGCUCAAAUUUGAAAUCUUAAAGGGUUUCCCUUUACGAAUUGUAGUUUAAAGAAGUGUUUUCUGUUGGAGUUUCGGUAAAAGUUCUUUGGAAUAGGACAUCAUAGAGGGUGAGAAUCCCGUAUUUGACCAUUACUUUUCCAGCUGUGUGAUACACUUUCAAAGAGUCGGAUUGUUUGGGAAUGCAGUCCAAGAAUGGGUGGUAAAUUUCAUCUAAAGCUAAAUAUUGGCGAGAGACCGAUAGCGAACAAGUACCGUGAGGGAAAGAUGAAAAGAACUUUGAAAAGAGAGUUAAACAGUACGUGAAAUUGUCAAAAGGGAAGCGUUUGACACCAGUGUUGUUUAGUUGAAAAUCAAUUCAAUAGUUUUUGAUUCUAAGUAGUAUUGACUUCAUCAGCUUGCUGCUUUCUUCUCAGAAAUUAUUGAAUGCACUUUUCAGUUAACAAGUCAACAUCAAUUUCUUUUGUUGUAAAAGGGUAAGAGGAAGGUGGCUUGCGCUUCGGCUCAAGUGUUUAUAGCCUUUUAUCUCUGCAAUCGGAGAGAUUGAGGUCUGCAGCGUAGAUCCUUCGGGGUUAGAUACAUUGGUGCUAAGCUAUAGCCUUGUAUAGACAACUUGUUGACUAUGCUCAGUCAUGUAGCUUACUCGCUGAUGCUAUUUUACCUACGCUUAGGAUGUUGACAGCAGUAUAGACUGU
rnacentral:rRNA from 1 species